GGGGUGUGCUCAGAGCAGGGGGCCUGAAGCUUGGCUCCUCUGUUUAUAAUACACCAGACAGGAAUCUAGGGUCAUUGUAACAAAGGGCAGCACAAAACUUGUGGCCUCCUGUAAACAAAUGCCCUACAUAG
ensembl:snoRNA